rnacentral:tRNA from 1 species
GCCCGGGUAGCUCAGGUAGCAGAGCAGGAGACUCUUAAUCUCAGGGUCGUGGGUUUGAACCCCACGUUGGGCC